UGACGGUACCUGACUAAGAAGCCCCGGCUAACUACGUGCCAGCAGCCGCGGUAAUACGUAGGGGGCAAGCGUUGUCCGGAUUUACUGGGUGUAAAGGGAGCGUAGACGGCUGUGCAAGUCUGGAGUGAAAGGCAGGGGCUCAACCCCUGGACUGCUUUGGAAACUGUAUGGCUUGAGUGCCGGAGGGGUAAGCGGAAUUCCUAGUGUAGCGGUGAAAUGCGUAGAUAUUAGGAGGAACACCAGUGGCGAAGGCGGCUUACUGGACGGUAACUGACGUUGAGGCUCGAAAGCGUGGGGAGCAAACAGGAUUAGAUACCCUG
rnacentral:rRNA from 1 species